rnacentral:rRNA from 1 species
CCCUUAGAUGUCCUGGGCUGCACGCGCGCUACACUGACACGUUCAACAAGUCUUACCUGCUCCGAUAGGACUGGGUAAUCUCUUAAAUGCGUGUCGUGAUGGGGAUAGAUUAUUGCAAUUAUUAAUCUUCAACGAGGAAUUCCUAGUAAGUGCAAGUCAUCAGCUUGUGCUGAUUACGUCCCUGCCCUUUGUACACACCGCCCGUCGCUCCUACCGAUUGAAUGGUCCGGUGAAGCGUUCGGACCGUGGCCUUUGGACGGUUCGCCGUCUGUUGGCUGCGGGAAGUUCGUUAAACCUUAUCAUUUAGAGGAAGGAGAAGUCGUAACA